rnacentral:rRNA from 1 species
CUUCCAGGAAAAGCCUCUAAGCUCUAGAUUAUCAUUAAUCGUACCCCAAACCGACACAGGUGGUCAGGUAGAGAAUACUCAGGCGCUUGAGAGAACUCGGGUGAAGGAACUAGGCAAAAUGGUGCCGUAACUUCGGGAGAAGGCACGCUGGCAUUAGGUGAAGUGAUUUACUCAUGGAGCUGAAGCCAGUCGCAGAUACCAGCUGGCUGCAACUGUUUAUUAAAAACACAGCACUGUGCAAACACGAAAGUGGACGUAUACGGUGUGACGCCUGCCCGGUGCUGGAAGGUUAAUUGAUGGGGUUAUCCGUAAGGAGAAGCUCUUGAUCGAAGCCCCAGUAAACGGCGGCCGUAACUAUAACGGUCCUAAGGUAGCGAAAUUCCUUGUCGGGUAAGUUCCGACCUGCACGAAUGGCGUAAUGAUGGCCAGGCUGUCUCCACCCGAGACUCAGUGAAAUUGAACUCGCUGUGAAGAUGCAGUGUACCCGCGGCAAGACGGAAAGACCCCGUGAACCUUUACUAUAGCUUGACACUGAACAUUGAGCCUUGAUGUGUAGGAUAGGUGGGAGGCUUUGAAGCGUGGACGCCAGUCUGCGUGGAGCCAACCUUGAAAUACCACCCUUUAAUGUUUGAUGUUCUAACGUUGCCCCAUUAUCUGGGGUGCGGACAGUGUCUGGUGGGUAGU